GACAGAGGUGCCGAGCGUUAGGCGGAAUCACUGGGCUUAAAGCGUGUGUAGGCGGGUCGUUAAGUGGCUUGUGAAAUCCCCCGGCUCAACCGGGGAAUGGCUGGGCAUACUGGCGAUCUUGAGCAGUCUAGGGGCAGAUGGAACAAGUGGUGGAGCGGUGAAAUGCGUAGAUAUCACUUGGAACGCCAAAGGUGAAAACAGUCUGCUGGGGACUUGCUGACGCUGAGACACGAAAGCCAGGGGAGCGAACGGG
rnacentral:rRNA from 1 species